AUGUCCGACUGCCCCUACUCCCCUGACGAGUGCAUGAUGCAGCUCCUAGGCGAGGGUACACGAACUCCACUUCUUCCACCAGCCACCCUCCCCUAUGCGCCCAGCUCGUGGAACACCUCCACACCAUCUUCGGAGCCGCCUGCCGGUGGUCGUGCUGAAGGUGUCCCUGCACUGCAAAGUGUGCGCUGGCAAGGUGAAGAAGAACCUACCAAGAUGGAAGCGCACGGAUGCAAUAGUGGCAAGAAGAUCAUGGUCGUGUGCGUCAUCAAGCACACCAUGGCAAGCAUCCACCUCCUCACAGUGGCAAGAAGAGUAGGUGCCUAG
rnacentral:rRNA from 1 species